CGGGCGGCGGCCGCCAUUCCGCGCAGCAUGGCCGCGGCCCCGGGCCCCCCGCUUCUCCCUUCUCCGCCCCUCUCCGCCGAGCGGGAGCCGCCGCCGCCGCCGCUAAGGCCCGAGCCGGGGCCGCAGGAGGGAAGAGGAGGGGUCGGGGCGGCUGUCACCGCCCCCGCCGUGCCUCGCCGUCAUCCCAAAGGGACCCGAGCGGCGCAGGUACCUGGAAUCCGCUUCCCUCCCCGGGUCGGCGCAAGCGGGGAGGGUGUGUGCCCUGCUCAGGCUUCUCUUGCUGGGGGGUUUUGUUUUUCUUGACUCAGAUCACGGAGAGGAAGCGGGGCUGAACCGGCUGGAGUGCCCGGACCUGCCCUAGAAACUCUGAGCUACUUUACCUGGGGUGACUAAAUGUACAGCGGAGCAGACACACGGGUUGCCAAAGCCACUGGGGAAAACCCACAUCAGCUCCAGCCCCUGGCAAGGAGCACCACGGGUCUGCUGUCAGUUUUAGAAAGAGUCCUCGUGGUGUAUUUUGAAGUUGACCUCCACCUGCUGCAACCCUUAGCCCUGUAUGGUAAGGGUGAACCACCAGUUCCAGCGCGCUCUGGCUGUGCCGCUCGCUACUGCCUCUCUCCCCACAAACCUCUGGUUCAGGACAGAGCCUUUCCUCGUUUCCCAGAGCACUGCAGUGCCCACCGGCUAAAGCAUCUUGUUGGCCUCUGAGUGGAAGGUAGUAGUGCAUGAUUGCAGCCUUUCUUGACCGCACACUGCAGAGAAUAGGGUUGGCUGUGGUAAACCGCCUUGCAGAAAUCCCGAUAUUGUGUUCUCUUGAAUCUGCCAGGGACAGGUUUCGUAGAUUUUUUUUCUCAUCUUGAAUAUGAGCAUUUAAAUCACUGCUUUUACAUAAUAACAGAAAUCUAUCUUCAUCCAAACAGUCUGUAUCUGGCUUAGUUGUAGAGAGUAUCAGAUAUACAGCCCUACUACUGACAGAUGUUUUCUGUUCUUUUUAAUAUACAGUUAUGUUCCACAAUGUUUUUCAUUUAUCAAUGAACUUUUGAUUAGAUAAGAAACCUAUUUUAUGGGCUUGCUAUUUUGAGACCAGCUAGGAUAAAACUAAAGAUACCAUCCAGUAACCUUGUAAGUGUUUGCUUUAGAUGUUUCUCAGGAAGCUAAUUAUUUCAGUUUCCAUAGUCGGAUGGUUUUGAUGUCUUCACUAUUCAACACACAUCCUGUUAAGAGUUGUCUUUAACUCUGUUGUCUUUUUUGUUCUGUACAGUGCCAAGCACUUUGAGAGAGGCCGAAUCAAUACUAAGUAACAAUGGAUGUUUUUUUAGCUGUAAUUCCAGGUUUAGCUGUCAUGGAUGAAACUGCCAACAGAUUAGAAGAACGGAGAAACUUUUUCUUUCCCUGAUGGUUUCAGAAGGCUUAGUGCCGCUGGUAUUCUGACUAGCUUUAAUUUAGCAUUUAGUCUAGAAAUGUCUAUGCCCUGAAAAAACAAACAAACAAACAAAAAAAACACCAUUAUUUUCUGAGGGUAGUAAAGGCUGUACAGUUAUUAUUAAUAAUAAUAAUUUAAUGCCUGAAAUAAGCAGUUAACAUUGUUAACACUUUAGAUUUGGUUUAAUGCAGCAGAAUAAAUUCAUUGGAACUAUGUAAAGUGUCCUGCAAGCAAUAUAUUAUAACCAUAGCUGAUAUAUUAUAACCAUAAAUUAUGUACAUUAGAAAAAACUAAUAGACAUUCUCAGAAACAGCCUGUGGCUGUAAGCACACCUCAACUUACGACACCUAUAACCACCUCCCUUCCUGAUACCCUUAUUCCUAUCUUUGAGCACGUGGAAUGGGAUCCUCGUCUACCAGAGGGGCAGAAUAGUAGCAGGAAAGGAUUUUCUGCCUCCAUUGGGAGACUUGUCUUCUUUGCCAUCUGGAGUGGAAGAAGAUGCCUUCAGACGUUGCCAGCAGCUGGAGCCAGGGGACCAGAUCGAUACCUGUUACUUCUGUAUCUUCUGCUGAAUAGUUAGUAGGAGAUGCAGUAUGCAGGGGGUUAAAUCCCUUAGUCAAAAUCCCAAUGAGGUGUGUCUAUCAGAGCUUCAGGUAAACUGUCGUUUCAAGGGGGCACACACAUAUUUAAUAUUGUCAGCUCAUGUUUUCACCUUUCUCCUAGGAGCCAUCAAGGCUAAAACUUACUUCUCUUAAAUACAAGCUGAAACUCUAAGGUAAGGCUGUGACUCCAGAAUCCCUUAGAAUGAGUUGAUAUAUUUUCUGUACCUUCAUAUGCAGGAAGGCAGUGUUUCCCUUCUGGGUUUGACUGAAAGGGAAAAACUGGUGGAAGCACACACGUGUUGCAGGUCUGCAAUGUUUCUGUGGUGGGCAGGGAGGAUCUCUGAGUGUUCUGGCUCACCUGGCUCCUCGUGUGAUUUCCAGUUUCCAGUCUCAGGUACCCAGACCAGGACCACAUGCAAGACUGGUCCCCAAAAGCCAUUAGGCCUGGACCCUGAGUUCUCAGCACCAUUGCUGUUCAGUUGACCUAUCCAUCAACUGCUCUAACAGAUGCUACAAGUUUUUCAUCAGAAGUAUUUGGUUCCUAUGCUGCAGUUUACAGAAACAAGCCGGGUAUUUUGCAUGAAUUUGGUCGGAGGUUGGAUGGGUGUCUUUUGUCAGUUGUUUCCAGCUGUUGAGAUGCAUCUCCUCUGAACUCAUUCUGGGAUUGUGGAGCCCAUGGAAUAAGCUCCCCUUGAUCUGUGUCAUCUCCAGUCGUACUUCUGCCUUGGCCUUGUACUGCAAUGCACAAUUACUGGUUCCAAUCAGCAUUUUUAGGGCACUUUUAGUGCCAGUGCUUAUUAGGCUCAUGAAGUGCGACAGGUGCAAAUGGCAGCAGCCAGAAAACACAUGUGAAAGAAGUAGUGAGGUUAACAGUCUCAAGGCAAGCAAAGAGAUGGGGAGUUGUAUCCAGUGAAAUGUCUGCUUUCUUAAGUAGGACUUAAAACUAUUUAUUUUUUUUUUAGAGUGGAAGGCUUAGGUUAGGUAAGUGUUUGAGAAGUUCUUGAGCCUUUCCUGGGAAGCAGCAGAAGGAUGAACUCAGCUAGAUUUUUUUUCCAGAUUUUAGAACAAUUAAUCCUGUAUAAUUUACGAUACAAGUAGGUAUUUCUGGCCCAAAUACCUGUAAAUGGUAUACGCUGUCCACUGAUGCCUGUUGCAUGGAAGUACAAACUAUGACUUGUCUCCUGGCCUUAAUACUUGCAAAAUUCAACUCUGCUCAUCUUUCAUGCUAAAAUUCUGUGGUUUUGUUUCAAAACUUUCAACCAUAAGCAAGAUUAAUAGACUUGUAAAAUUCUAUUAUCUCCCAUGUAAGUAUGAAUGUAGCCUCGUAAAGAACAAACGGAGAAGAAAAACAAACGUGACUGUAGAAGAAAGGGAUUAAGCUAUUAAAUGGUGAAGAAACGGCAGUUUAUUAGAAGGAAUAACUCAUAUGAGUUGUCUGUAUCUAUAAAGUAUAAUGACUAAUGAUCAGAAGACACUAUCUUUUCUAAUAAAGAGGGACACCGCUGUAGUAAUUACAGAGUAUUUCAUACAGCAACAUUCAGCUAAGGUAGAGAAAGAGAAUGGGGGCAGUAUUUCUUAUAUGUAUAUAUAUGUAACUUCUUAUAUCCUCAGUAUCUGCAUUUAUGGAAUGUAUUCGAAGGUUGUGAAAUGUAUGCUGCUCAUAUUAAGAAUUCUGAACGUUAUGCUGAUGAGCUGGAAGAAACAUAAUUGCUGGAAUAUUUAUGUUACAUAAAUGAUAUGAUAGAAAUACAAAAUAUGUUACAGAGCAGUUGCAUGAUUUGUUGAUCUGGUUACAGGUUCCCUUGAUUCUCACUGCUGUAAGUUUAGAUCUUUAGUAUCUACUUUUAGAUCUACUUUUGAGCAAAUUACUGAAGACUAGCAGGCCACGACUACACUUAAAAGUUGCACCUUCCUAUUUUUUUUUCCUGUGAUGAUUGACAAAAGUUCUUGUUCAGCAAAUUAGCGGGGACGUUUAUGAACUGGUACCUGAUUUGUAUGCGUAAUUACUGCCGUGUGUGUGGAAUGGUGGUUAACUUUUUUGCAAGAACGACUCUUCCUGGGACUCGUUUGAAUUCCUUCUGGAUGUCUUGCCUCUACUGAGUCAUAAUUACUGGCUUUGCUCCUCACAGCAGCCAGGGGACUGUUAACCACCUUUAAUCGCUGACAGCGCCUCAGCGUCUUCGAGGCAUGAGGGAAACAGGCUGCCACCACCGAGGCGGUGCCCGCGACUGGCCGUGGGCCAGCGUCCCCUGAGCCAGGGGAUCGCCGGUGACGUUUUGAGAAAACACGAGACAGAGAGCGGCCUUUCUCAAGGCGGAGGCAGGAGAGUUUUUUUAAUUUUUUAUUUAUUUUUUUUAACAAAACCACG